UACGUAGGGUGCUAGCGUUGUCCGGAUUUAUUGGGCGUAAAGAGCGUGUAGGCGGCCAGAUAGGUCUGCUGUGAAAACUCCAGGCUCAACCUGGAGACGUCGGUGGAAACCAUCUAACUAGAGUCCGGAAGAGGAGAGUGGAAUUCCUGGUGUAGCGGUGAAAUGCGCAGAUAUCAGGAAGAACACCCGUUGCGAAGGCGGCUCUCUGGGACGGUACUGACGCUGAGACGCGAAAGCGUGGGGAGCGAACAGG
rnacentral:rRNA from 1 species